rnacentral:rRNA from 1 species
UACGUAGGGGGCGAGCGUUGUCCGAAGUUACUGGGCGUAAAGCGCGCGUAGGCGGGUUGUUAAGUGAGGGGUGAAAGGUUCGGGCUCAACCCGGACACUGCCUUCGAUACUGGAGAGCUCGAGUCCGGGAGAGGUGAGUGGAACUGCGAGUGUAGAGGUGAAAUUCGUAGAUAUUCGCAAGAACACCAGUGGCGAAGGCGGCUCACUGGCCCGGUACUGACGCUGAGGUGCGAAAGCGUGGGGAGCAAACAGG